rnacentral:rRNA from 1 species
UACGGAGGGGGCGAGCGUUAUUCGGAAUCAUUGGGCGUAAAGGGCGCGUAGGCGGCCCCGUAAGUCUUGGGUGAAAGCCCUCGGCUCAACCGAGGAAUUGCCUUGGAUACUGCGGGGCUCGAGGCUGGAAGAGGACAGUGGAAUUCCCGGUGUAGCGGUGAAAUGCGUAGAUAUUGGGAGGAACACCAGUGGCGAAGGCGGCUGUCUGGGCCAGUUCUGACGCUGAGGCGCGAAAGCGUGGGGAGCAAACAGG